rnacentral:rRNA from 1 species
AACGAACGCUGGCGGCAGGCCUAACACAUGCAAGUCGAGCGAGACCUUCGGGUCUAGCGGCGGAUGGGUUAGUAACGCGUGGGAACGUGCCCUUCUCUGCGGAAUAGCCACUGGAAACGGUGAGUAAUACCGCAUACGCCCUUCGGGGGAAAGAUUUAUCGGAGAAGGAUCGGCCCGCGUUAGAUUAGAUAGUUGGUGGGUAACGGCCUACCAAGUCUACGAUCUAUAGCUGGUUUUAGAGGAUGAUCAGCAACACUGGGACUGAGACACGGCCCAGACUCCUACGGGAGGCAGCAGUGGGGAAUCUUAGACAAUGGGCGCAAGCCUGAUCUAGCCAUGCCGCGUGUGUGAUGAAGGUCUUAGGAUCGUAAAGCACUUUCGCCAGGGAUGAUAAUGACAGUACCUGGUAAAGAAACCCCGGCUAACUCCGUG